CAACAAGUUCAAUUUCUUAUGCCACGACCAUCAGUGCUCUAUAUUAUGAAUACUUUGCACCGAGUGACUUGACUAUAUCUGCCGUGUGUGGAUUCUUCCAUCCUUUUCCCUUCCUCUCACCCAGAAAAUGGUCUAGUCCUAACAUGACAUCAACAUCCAUGAUUCCUGCUUUUUUAAAGUUAGCACACAGGAAAAGAAUUGGCUUGACAGUCCUUCAAACUGAAAUCCUGCUGGGCCUUCUGAACAUUCACUGUCUGGAUAGUAGCAGCCACCUCGUCCGAACCAUCAAUGGGCACCAUCCCUAGCCUGGAGGGACCACCUCUACAGUGAGAGCAUAUGACAGAGAGAGAUGCCAAGCUGCUUGCUGCUGUUUCACAGACAGAACAAUCCCCCAUUCUGUGAGAUUCAAGAAGAGUCAGCAGCACACCUUUGUUUAAAUCCUACUCCAGCCUGAUCACCAUCUGUGCCCACUCAUUGACACAAGUCCUGGCUAAUGUCAGCAGUGGAAGAGAGAUCAUCUAGGAGGUUUCUGAAGUAAAGCUUGUUGAUACAUCCUUCUUCCAGUCUCAUCAAACUCUUUGUUCCCAUGCAAGUGUCAGCCUUGUUUUUGCACCGAAGAGGGUUAGAGAGUUUGGAUAACCAUUUGAAUGCUUCCCUGCAGUGAAACCUUUGAAGAUCCACCCCAACACCAUCAUGUGAUAAAAGACCUGUCUGAACAAUCCAUUACACUCACUAGCCUGGUGCAUUUACAUUGAGCUUAACGAGUUUAUGCCAACCCAGUGUCAUCUGGUGUAUAAGAGUCUUCUUAGUUGUAAACAGUUUCUGCUCUAUCACUGAGCUUCCUUCCAGAAUGAAAUAAAAUGAGAUAGAAAAACAUGUUUAUAACACUUUAUUAUUAAUAUGUAUAGCAUUUAGGGGCCUCUCUCAGGGAUUGGGUCCACAAUAUGUUAGGGGCUAUACAGUACAUACAUAUAACAAACAGUCCCUGCCUACAGGGAUAAUUCUAAGGCAAGUAUGUAAAUCUUCUCAGCUCAUUGUUGGCUCUAAAUAAGUCCUCUACUAGUAGUUUCUUUUAAACCAUAUGGAUUAGAAUUUCUCAGGCGGCAAGUCGGAGUUGAGCUAAUCUCAAACAUGUGAGACUUUAGUGUGAUUUUGGGAUGGUUUGAUGGUGACAGUUUUGUUUGAAAUGGCCACCUAUUUCCUCUACUGCUAACACUAAGAUGAUUUUCUUAUCUAUUGUACUCAUAUGCCCCUGUUAUCACCACAUCUGAGCUCCUCGCAAAUUUGAAUGCAUUCAUCCUCAUAACCCCUGUGAAGAAGGGAAGUACUGUGUAUC